rnacentral:lncRNA from 12 species
GCCAGCAAAAUGCGUAGCGUCACAUAUUCCAUCUCUCAGAAGGAACUCUCAGACUCCUGGGGACGAGUGCGCAGCGUGACUUGACUUCAUUCGUGAAGCUUUCAUGUCCCUCCAAGUCCCCACGGCCCAGGUUUCCUUCGAUUCUGCGAAGUCCAUCUCUCCGGGGGCACAGCGAGAAGAGCAGGAGCUGUUUGACUUUGCAGGUGCCUGGCAGUCAGUGACGUCACAGCGUGAAGCCUCCCCCCAGCAGAUCCUUGACCUGCCUGAUAUCCAAGUUUCUCCUCCACCUCCACCGCAAUUGCUGUUAGAUCAAUUCAGGAACAUUCUAUUCAGAAACCAGCCGUGGCCAAGUCACUUCCUGGCCCCUGAGAAGCCUCGAGGCCACCUUCCAUCAGAGGAAUAUCAGAAGCGGCACAUCCUGACGGCUCCGCACCAGGCUCAGGAGCAGUUGGGUCUUCCCUUCCUGCCCAUGGCGGAUCUGAACUAAUUUCUCAGCUGUAAUCUACACCACCCACCACCUAGGAGCUUCCCAGAAAUGUCCAGCAGGGGAGGGGGCGGGCGAGUAGCAACGCUCUGACUCUUGGCAGGGCCUGCCCAGCGGCCGACUCCACUUCCAGGCUGUUCUGGCUUCAAAAUUCACUUAGACGAUCUCCUCGAAAUAAGCAAAAAAUAUUGGCAGCAAACGGUUGGAUGAAAAGGUCCCAGUUUUACGAGAGGACAGAAUGAAUGUGUUGCGGGAUCGGCCUGCAGAGGGAGGGCGUGGGUCAGGGUGCUUGUGGCGGCCACGAGCACUGGCCUGGUCUUCACGUUUCCAUAUCUUCUUCAUCCUGCAUGGUUUUUUCAUUAGUUUGUUCUUAAAAAAAAUCAUAUUAGGAAAUUUAAAUGCAUGUUACCAAGUGACAGAAGCUGGUCUGAAAAUACUGUGUGCUGUACGAUUGCACCUGUACGACCUCCUGGAAAAGGCACGACCGUGGAGGCAGUAAAAAGAGGAGUUUUUGCUUGGGACUAGAGGGGAAGGAGGGACGAGUACGCAGAAUAGAGGGCAGCUUUAGGGCAGUGACACUACUCCGUAUGACACUGCACUGGUAGAUAGACGUCAUCGUGCAUUUGUCUAAACUCAAAGAAGGUACAACAGCAAGUGUGAGCCCUAAGGUAAGCCAUGGAUUUGGGGUGAUGAUGAUGUGUCCGUAGAAUCAUCCAUUAUGACGAGUGUACCACUGUGGGGAUCUUGAUCACGGGGACGUCUGUGCAUGUGUAGGACAGGGGCGUUUGGGAAAUCUCUGUACCCGCCUCUCGGUUUUGCCACGAAACUAAACUUGCUCUGAAAAGUGAAGCCUAGCAAAAAUAUAUCACACUAAAAUGUUAUUUUUUUUUUUUUACUAAAAUGUUAUUUAUCUGGGAAGUUACUAGAAUAUGGGUGUAGAGUACCAGUUUUGCAAAAUGAAAAGUGUUCUGGGGAUGGAUAGCGGUGAUAGUUGCGCAGGUGCUUGCCACUGAACCAUGUUCUUAAAAACGAUUAAAAGGAAAAUGUUAUGUCAUUUAAUUGUGUUGCACUACAAUUAAAAAUGUUACCGGGAUCCCAGGGCGCAAUCCUGGAGACCCGGGAUCGAGUCCCACGUCGGGCUCCCGGUGCAUGGGGCCUGCUUCUCCCUCUGCCUAUGUCUCUGCCUCUCUCUCUCUCUCUCUCUGUGACUAUCAUAAGUAAAUAAAAAAAUUAAAAAAAAAAGAAUGAUAUUAAAA